rnacentral:rRNA from 1 species
UACGUAGGGUGCAGGCGUUAAUCGGAAUUACUGGGCGUAAAGCGUGCGCAGGCGGUUUCUUAAGUCAGAUGUGAAAGCCCCGGGCUUAACCUGGGAACUGCGUUUGAAACUGGGAGACUCGAGUGCGGCAGAGGAGACUGGAAUUCCUGGUGUAGCAGUGAAAUGCGUAGAUAUCAGGAGGAACACCUGUGGUGUAGACGGCUCUCUGGACAGUAACUGACGCUGAGACACGAAAGCGUGGGUAGCAAACAGG